GACGAACGCUGGCGGCGUGCUUAACACACGCAAGUCGAACGGAAAGGCCCUGCUUUUGUGGGGUGCUCGAGUGGCGAACGGGUGAGUAACACGUGAGUAACCUGCCCUUGACUUUGGGAUAACUUCAGGAAACUGGGGCUAAUACCGGAUAGGAGCUCCUGCUGCAUGGUGGGGGUUGGAAAGUUUCGGCGGUUGGGGAUGGACUCGCGGCUUAUCAGCUUGUUGGUGGGGUAGUGGCUUACCAAGGCUUUGACGGGUAGCCGGCCUGAGAGGGUGACCGGCCACAUUGGGACUGAGAUGCGGCCCAGACUCCUACGGGAGGCAGCAGUGGGGAAUAUUGCACAAUGGGCGGAAGCCUGAUGCAGCAACGCCGCGUGCGGGAUGACGGCCUUCGGGUUGUAAACCGCUUUCGCCUGUGACGAAGCGUGAGUGACGGUAAUGGGUAAAGAAGCACCGGCUAACUACGUG
rnacentral:rRNA from 1 species